UAUGUGAUCUCUUGACCUCCACUAAUACACAUCUCUGUGUGUAUAUGUGUACAAGGAGGACAUGUAAGUUACAGGAUACAAUUCUGAUGAAAUCUGAUGGCAAUCAGCGAGUGAUAAUGCCAAUUUUAAAAAGAUUAUACCGAGCAUUCCCUGAAUGGUUCAGCUGAUCUGACCACUGACACAGCUGUGCCUGCAAACUAAAGCCUGCC